rnacentral:rRNA from 1 species
CACUGGCCUACAUAAUCAUUGUUGCGGUUAAGAGGCUCGUAGUUGGAUUGAACCAUAUUAAAUGUAUUAAUACAUUUUUUUACUCGACAAGUUGAAAAAAUAUUCUUGUCACAUACACACUCAAAUGUAUUAUAUUUAAAAUGUAUAAUAUACACCUACACUUUUUCAACACUGUGAACAAAUCAGAGUGUACCAAACAGAUCGUUUCUGCAUAUGCCUUGAAUGUUUCAUUAUGGAAUGUUGCAGUAUAAAAUAACUGUACGUUUUGUCACUCAAACACAAACACCUACAGUUAAAAAAAAGCAGAUGUGAAGUGGCAAAUCCGAUUAUUUCAUUACGUCGAUGGAGGUAGUUGAAGUCAACAGUACUGCUUGGCAAGAGGUGAAAUUCAUUGACAUUAGCAAGACUACCAAAAGCGAAAGCAGUUGGCUAGGCUAUACCCUUUGUGAUUGAUGUACGGUAUCUACACAUACACACUUUCUAGUAGCGACGCUCAUGCUAUAUAUACUUUAUAA